CAAGUUAACUCAGACACUGGACCACAUUGAGUCUGAGUUGAGUCACAAGUUUUUAGCCCUGAUUUAUCCAUGCAUGUGUUCAUGAAUUUAUGUACUAUUCAGGUUCUGAUAGAUUUUGAAAUGCAAGAAUGGAACUGUGAUGGGCAGGUCUGCUAUCUAAAAAGUUUGGCAUGGAAUCCAUGGUUGCCAAACAUGGCCUAAAUGUUUCAGAUGGUUAAUGCGUGGAGAGGAUGGAGUCUCUUCCAAGCUUUGCUUCAAACACUGAAGAGAAUUGCUUCUAAGCAUGGUGUCUCUAUCCCUACUGUUGCUGUGAAAUACAUACAAGAUCAGGUAAUUUCAUCUUGACCACUAAUUCAAAUAUCACAUCAUUGAUUCCUUCCCAAUUAUAAAUUUCCUUUUCCAAUGACCCAUGGGAUUUACUCUCUUCUCUAAUAGAUCCAUUGAAGAUGUCAUGUACAUGACCUUGUAGGUUGGCAAAUAAAUAAGCAGACCUUAUACACUUAUUUUGGAUUUAUGCGUCAGAUUAACAUAACAGACCACAUUUUGUUGCAUGACCUAACUGUCAUUGCAUUGACCCUCUUCCAUAGUUCUAUGUUGGAGUUGAGCUCAUUGCUCAAUUGGAUGGUGCUCUAAGCUUUAACCUUGAGGUCACAGGUUCAAUCCCAGCUUACCCAUGGAUAAGGCUUCUAUGUUAGAGAAGGAUGAGAAUGAUACUAAUUACGAAGAAGUGGAGGUUGCGGAUGAGUUUGACAGCGACCUUGAUGAAGAUGUGAGUAUUUUUACAUUUUUUUUCUUCAUUCAUCCAUGAGUAGUUCACAUUUCAAGUACUCAAUGGGCUUUCUUGCUAGAACAAAAGAAGAAAUCUAUAUGUUAGUUGAUUUCAUGAAUGUUUUAUUUUUGAGGUAUCUUGUGAUGCUUUGAUCGAAAGGCUUGACUUGUUUUUGUUUGACCCUGUAAUGGUACUGGUUGGCCCGCCUAUUGAUCUGAUAUUACCCAUCAUGGGCUGGGCCAUGCUAUUUUAAUUUUUUUUGUGCCUUAUUAUUUUCAGGUUAAAAUAACCAAUCCAAAGAAACAUUGUGCAUCCUAACACGAGCAUUGUUUUGCCUGGGAUGACAUGCAACAUUAUAGGUGAUCCUCUAGUUUUUGUUGUUGAAUAGUCACUCUUUUGCAUGUUUAAUUUUUCAAUCUUUUUGUUGUUUUUUGGCUAAUCAAAUUGCUUACGGUCUUUGUUUUGAUUUUAAUAGUUACGAUGCAAGCCCAAAAAUGAAGCUCUGCUUGAUGUGCAAUGCAAAGACAAGUUCCUCUUUCAGAGUAUCAUUGUAAGUCAUGGUGCAACCACAAAGGACCAUGUGUUUUCUCUAGGAGUGGAGCACAUCAUGGAGGAUUUUUAUUUUUAUUUUUAUUGUAUUCACACAAUUGUAAACUUUGUUGUAAAUAUAUAUAAUUUUUAUUAUGAAGUUGUAAGCAAUUUGUUUAAUAUUAAUUUUUAAUUGUAUAUAAUAUUCUUUGGUUUUUAAAUAUAAAAACAAAUGUACAGCUUUUAUUGGCCAUUCGAAAUAAUGAAAAAUACCGGUCCAAAAAUUUAAAAUUUGAC